rfam:Pseudomonas chlororaphis subsp. aureofaciens 30-84 chromosome, whole genome shotgun sequence.
UGUUAUGGCGGCUGUGCGUGGGACACCUUCGGGUGUGCCGGUGUCCUAUGCCCGGUCGGCCAACCCGCGUACAGCCGCCACCCUA